rnacentral:rRNA from 1 species
GACGAACGCUGGCGGCGUGCCUAAUACAUGCAAGUUGAACGCUCUUUUCUUAUCGAACUUCGGUUCACCGAGAAAAGGGAGUGGCGAACGGGUGAGUAACGCGUGAGAACCUGCCUUUCACAAAGGGAUAGCCUCGGGAAACUGGGAUUAAUACCUUAUGAUACUUACAUUUCACAUGAGAAGUAAGUUAAAGCGCAAAAGCGGUGAAAGAUGGUCUUGUGUUCCAUUUAGUUAGUUGGUGAGGUAACGGCUCACCAAGACCGCGAUGGGUAGCCGGCCUGAGAGGGUGAACGGCCACAUUGGAACUGAGAGACGGUCCAAACUCCUACGGGAGCAGCAGUGGGAA